UACGUAGGGUGCAAGCGUUAUCCGGAAUUAUUGGGCGUAAAGAGCUCGUAGGCGGUUUGUCGCGUCUGCUGUGAAAACUGGGGGCUCAACCCCCAGCCUGCAGUGGGUACGGGCAGACUAGAGUGCGGUAGGGGAGAUUGGAAUUCCUGGUGUAGCGGUGGAAUGCACAGAUAUCAGGAGGAACACCGAUGGCGAAGGCAGAUCUCUGGGCCGUAACUGACGCUGAGGAGCGAAAGCAUGGGGAGCGAACAGG
rnacentral:rRNA from 1 species